rnacentral:rRNA from 1 species
GACGAACGCUGGCGGCGUGCUUAACACAUGCAAGUCGAACGGAGAGGGGAACGGGUGAGUAACAUGAGGGGGAUCCGCCUUGCACAUAGGGAUAAGAAAGGGAAACUGGGUCCAAAACCGGAUAGUGCAAGAUGAGCUCGCGGCCUAUCAGCUUGUUGGUGGGGUAAUGGCCUACCAAGGCGUCGACGGGUAGCCGGCCUGAGAGGGUGUACGGCCUCAUUGGGACUGAGAUAGGGCCCAGACUCCUACGGGAGGCAGCAGUGGGGAAUAUUGCACAAUGGGCGGAAGCCUGAUGCAGCGACGCCGCGUGGGGGAUGAAGGCCUUCGGGUUGUAAACUCCUUUCAGCAGGGACGCGGUACCUGUAUAAGAAGCACCGGCUAACUACGUGCCAGCAGCCGCGGUAAUAC